AGAGCAGAGUGACAGCUCUUGUCUGAAGGACUGGAAGUAACUUUUAAGAAGUGGAAAAUGCCUGUGAGAGGUGUUGCAGGUAGUGCUCCUCUUGUCACACUGGUCAAGAAAAGAGCUGAAUAUGGAACUUAGAUCUCUGUGGCCAGGACCAGCUGGUUACUGAGCAGUUGGCUCUGAAAAGCCACUCAGGUCUGCAGAUGUGUGCAGUGUGUGCUGAUGGGCUCAGUGUGCAGGGACAGCAGCAUGGGGUGGGCAGUACACAGGGAGAAGCUGUGCUCAGCGGCAGAGCAAAGGAGCAUUUGUGGGCUUUCAGAGCCCAGCCAAGAUCUGGAGUGAAUCCAGGACCCUGGCAGCAGUGUGGGUGGAAAUGUGGGUGUUUCUGUAGAGGAGCAUAGCACUGCAAUGUGACAGAUGCACGAUUUUGUGAGGAGGAGUUCAGGAUGAGUUGUAGCAUGUGAGUAUGGAAGAUGGCAACUCCAGCGGUGACUGGAAUAUAUCUCAGCAGCUAUCAGGGAUUUUGAGACAUUACCCAUUACAUGCUCUGAGAAAGGACAGCUGUAACAUUUGCUGUACACCCCCAGUUUCACCUUUUCCAGGGAAGGAAUAUCUGCUUACAUUUGCGAUAUAGCUUCGUAUGAAUUUCUAUGAAUCAGAUGCACACUGUAAGGACUGGUCAGUCUUGUGUCUUACUGAGUAGAGGAGAACAGGCAGGCACUGGGACAUCACAGAACGUAAGAAAAAAACCAAGACCAUGUAGGAUCUUUUGUCUCUUUAACACACAUCUUCACCAGGUAUCUCUGGGACUUUGCCCACGUGCCUGGAUUUUGAGACUAGCAGAGUCCAUGAGAACCUCCACUGACCGAGAGACUGUCUGCACUGACCUUUCUCUGAAGUACUUGAUGGCUUCCUGGUCUAGGAAGUUCUGUUCUUCUCGAAAGCCCUGCUCAAAGAUUUUGCGCUUGUGUCUGAACUCAAUGACAGUCUUAGUGUAAGAGUUCAAGGUAGUAACGGAGGCCGCCAUGCAGCAGGUGAAAGAACCCCACGCCAGACUGUGGAGAGAGAAACCAGCAGACAGCUGGGUUAAGACAGUUGCUCACGUUAUAUUUCUGAAGCCAAGAGACACACAUACACAGGAUGUGACCAGGCAGGGUCACUUCUAGGAUUUCUGGCUUACAUCCAGGCUCCAAAAGCCCAACCAGAGCAGAAGACAGCACUUCCAUUUUGUAGAGAGCCCCAACCUGAAGGCCAUGACCCAAGCAUGCAGGUGGUGCUACCCAGCCCUGGGCAGCCCAUGGUGUGCAUAUGCAAGUGACAACCAGGAGCACGGGGAGACAGCAGGAGAAGGAGGUGGAAAUAAAAAAGUGACCGUGGCAGUGCCAGGCUGGAGCAUCAAUGUUAGCAUGGGGCUCUCAGCAUGAAGAACUCCUUUUGUUUGCAGAAAUUAUCUGUGUUCAGGCUCUCCUGGACCUCACAUCCAGCCCAUCAGGUCCAGACUGAUGGACCAACUCAGAAAUGAGAAGAUAUUAAGAGGUGCUGACACUUACCAAAAGGACCAUCCAUAGUCCCAUGAAUGCGGCCUCCAGUCCUCCGGCCCGAGGCUGACUGUCACUUGGAACACUUGAGUAUACAUCAUAUGUGCCACCAUCCCCAAGAGACCUGAGAAGCAGAGAGCAGAACAGCUGAAGUUGUUUUUUUUACAGUUCUUGAGACAGCUACUGCUGGAAGUGCUCUGAAAGCUCUGCUGCAGGCUUUGCUGUGUUUUCAUGCCUCUUGUUCUACUGAGGAGGUGUGUGCAGAGGAAAGGUGUGACUGAAGCUUGCUAUUUUACAUCGUACUGAAUCCUCAAUUAAGAGGAAAGUUAAAGAAAGAAAACUGCUGAAGAAAAUACGGCGCAGUCAGCAUCACCACCAACCUCCCUGCUGCAAAACAAGGGUCUGCCACCCACAAGGCAUCUCACAGCCAGACUCAGACAGGCCUCAGAACUUAGAUGGAUGUUUCAGCAACGUUCAGCCCAUUUGCUGAGUGGGAGGCCAAGAUGACAGUCCAUUGACUCAGGUGAGUAGGAGGUCGUGAACAAGGGCUGCUGGAACACAGGGACGAAAUUGAAGUUGGCACUUAUUACUUCUUCUGCCUAAUGGGAAGAGGGUUGGGAGUGACAUCUGAACCAGAAAAUUAUGCUUUGGCAGUUUUUAGCAGAUGUUUUUUUCUGUCCUCUCAGAUUCACUUCUGAUCAAAGUUUUAUGUUGCUAACUGUAUUUCAGUUUGAGGCAGUCCUUGAAGAUUGACACUCUUUCACAGAAAUGUGCACUGCAUGCUAUAAUGUCUUUCAGCUUGAAACGCAGCAGAACAAAAUCCUCUUAAUUCAGAAGUUCUUUUUGCCAGAGAAGUCCAUCCAGGUGUGCUCACAAAAGCUG